AAAAACUGGUAAAUAGAUAAACAUAAGCGAACAUUGCCAGUAUAAGAGGGUAGUGAUGAUGACAAAUGAUGUCUCCUUUGUUUAUUAAAAAGGUAGGAAUUAAAAUACUGGCUCAGAAUAGUUUAAGAGGCAGAAGCAAUUAGAUAUAAAGUGUGUUAAAGUGCUAUAGUUCUUGGAGAAGGUUAUGAAACAGCUUGACUUUAGGCUCUGUAAAGUCAACCAUGCCCAAUGAAAUUAUCCAAAAUGAGCCCACAAAGAACUGAAAACAUGUAUACCACAUGGCUGAAUGGAGGAGAAGAAAAGUAAAAUAAAGGGGGGAAUCAACAAAACCAAAAAUCUAAUAAAAAAAGACAAAGAAGAAGAAAUGAGAAACACAAAUAUGGGAAAAAUAGAGAUCAAGGGGACGUUGAACACAAAUCCAAGGAUAUCCGUACAUCCUCCUAUAACAACACAUUAACGCUGGAGCAGCUUUAUCCAGGAACCAUCAGAUCUCUAGAAACAAAGUUAUAGGCUAAAGAAGUCAAUUUGUCAGUUGAGAAAUAGAGGAAGAACAUUCCAGAGGAGCCGUAUAAUGGUCUCUCCUAUAAGUGAAAGAUAUGAAGCAUCUUUUCUAAUAUUCGGGUUUCUGCUAAAGGAUUCUGAGUAGGGGCUCAGGGAAGCAGGACUGGUUAAUGGUUUUUUGUUUUUUUUAAUUUCUUUUU